GUUUUCUGUGAAAAAGUUGAAGAGAAAUGGCAAUGGGAAAGAAGAUAUGUGAAAAUGUUGGAUUUGGGCUUGUGAGAAGUACCUCAUUUGGGAGGAAAAGAGUUUGUUUGCCUAAUAUUAGGGAUCUUGAUUUCAUUUCAACAACACCUACAAAGAAAAUAUGCAGAAAUAAUUCAUUUUCCACUUGUGUGAAGUCCCCUCUUGAAGCUCUGCCUCAAGAUAUCCUGAUAAGGAUAGUGUGUGGAGUUGAACAUGAGGAUCUUAAGAGGUUGUUUCAUGUAUCAAAACCAAUUAGAGAAGCGACUUUGGUUGCAAAAAG
rnacentral:misc_RNA from 1 species